GUCCUAAUCCCAGUGGGGCCUCCAUCUGGUCUCCAGGUGGGGCAGACAUCUGGGCUUAGUUCCUGACAGUCUUUUGCUUUACUGGAUAUGCGUCAGAGACUGGAACAAUGGCCUAUACCCUGAUCUUUCAGUUGUCACGAUGCUGACUAUCAGCAUAGACUCUCUGCCUGGGGGUCAUCACAUUCCUAAGGAACUCAAAAGAACAAAGUUAUCAACUUACAGCAGCUGAGAGGGGCCAUAAAAUCUACAGAGCAUGUCUGGUUUGAAUUGAGACCUGGAGGUGCAAUCUGGGAGAGUCCUUGAGGAGGCCACUGCGGGAGUCCAGGAGAAAGGCGAUGGGGUUUGUGUAAGGGUGAUGUCGCUGAGAUGGAGCAUAUGGUUUGGAGAGAUGUUUAGAAGAAAUCAAGCUCCAUGACAACAGGGACCCCCUGUGUGUCCCAUCUGCUGUAUCUCCGGUACCACAAACAGAGCUGUUCUGUUGUUUCUCAGUCAUUGCUUGUUAACUGAAUACACGAUCAGACCCAGGAGAAAGGCAAGCAGUCCUUCUUAGCCUCCGGACUUUCUAUUUAAUUCGUUGAGUGUCGGCUCUGUUCUCAGAUCAUCAUUUUAAGCGGAAACAAACAAACUCAGAGAAGGAGUGAUUUUCCCAAAGCUGCCAUGCAACCAAUACGAUUCAAACCCAGUUCCUGCUCACACGCAUCGUGACCACAACAGGACAGAGCCUAAAAGUGUGAUUUAAAGAAACAGCAAAAGAAGUGCUCUAUCGAGAGCCCGGGGCAGCAGCCUCACCCAGGGAGAGACAGGCUACGAGCUGAGAUUGUCUCACAGCCAAGGAGGGAGAAAUCCAGCAGGACAUUUAUAGGAAAAAAAAACCCACCACAAAUAUCAGUCAUUUCAAAGACAGGGCAUGGUACAUGUCCAAGCAAAAUCACUUCUCCAGGGACUUUCCAUGCACGUCGACUCUCAGAGAGCAUCUCCCGAUUUUGGAUCAGUGCCCUAUCGCCCCAGCAGACUGAGAACCGUUAUUUCUCAAGGACUGAUGGGAAGUGAACAAAAUUAAUAACCUCUCAAGCCUUUUAUUUACAUGAAUUAACUAAAAGAAAUUACUAAAAUGAUAGGGAGAGAGAGAGAGAG
rnacentral:lncRNA from 1 species